CAUUAUUCUUUUUGUAGUAUUAUUGAUGAAUAAUUAAAAUCAUUUGAAUAAUUAGGUCGGUACCAAGGCUGUACCUUAAAAUUGUAAUAUUAUAAUCGUAUUGCUAUAGUAAUACGCGACCUGCCAAAUCAUCAUUGAAUAAGUAUUUACUUAUCAACACUCAUAUGAAGAAUGAUGUAAACUCUGAGCGGGUAACUUAAGUUAAAGAAAAUGUUUUAUUGCUUUUAAUUAAUUGUAUGGUACUACCGAGUGGCACAGUGAAUGAUUCACAGUGGUGUUUUAAAAAUAAAAACAUAAAACCGACUUCAAAUUAAAAUCUACUCAAAAUAAAAACAAUCAACCAAAUCGUUUCAUAUAUGCUUAGUCUGAAGUGCUGAGGUACAUUCAUACAUACCUACAGUUGUCUUAUAUAAUAUCGACUGUUCAGGAUCGAGAAAACCCAGCGGAAAAGAAAUAAAGAAAUUUUGUUUCCGGUUUGUCCGCGGUUUUCAUCUGGCUGGGCUCGCCGCGAUGCGGGCUGGGCGUGCGCGGCG